UCUACAAUCACCUUUGCUUGGAGAAAGGAGUUAAGUGUUAUGCCUUCUGUGAAUGAAGAGGAAGAUCUAAGUCUACACUCCUCAGAGAAACAAGAAACCAGAAAAUUUUCUUCAAAUGAGCCAGAAAUUCUUCCUGACUUCAACACAACAUGGCCAUUGGGAACAGAAUAAACCACAAAUAAGGAAAUGGAG
rnacentral:lncRNA from 14 species